ACGGUGUCCCACAUACAACCUAGAGGAGCCUGUCCUAUAACCGAUAAUCCACGAAAAACCUCACCACCUCUUGCCAAACAACCUAUAUACCGCCGUCGAAAGUUAACCUUGUGAGGGCAAUAAAGUGAACACAAUAGUUCAACACUAAUACGUCAGGUCAAGGUGUAGUUAAUAAGGUGGUCAGAGAUGGGCUACAUUUCCUUUUAAAGGAAAGAACGAAUGAUAGAAUGAAACUUCUACCAGAAGGAGGAUUUAGCAGUAAAACAAGAUCAGCAAGCCUGUUUGAACACAUUGCCCUGGGACGCGUACACACCGCCCGUCACCCCAAUCAACCAACCUAAAAGACAAGUAAAUUAAAACCUGAAAUCAAAAGAGAUUGGGUAAGUCGUAAC
rnacentral:rRNA from 1 species